UACGGAGGGGGCUAGCGUUGUUCGGAAUUACUGGGCGUAAAGCGCGCGUAGGCGGCUUUGUAAGCUAGAGGUGAAAGCCCGGGGCUCAACUCCGGAAUUGCCUUUAAGACUGCAUCGCUAGAAUUGUGGAGAGGUAAGUGGAAUUCCGAGUGUAGAGGUGAAAUUCGUAGAUAUUCGGAAGAACACCAGUGGCGAAGGCGACUUACUGGACACAUAUUGACGCUGAGGUGCGAAAGCGUGGGGAGCAAACAGG
rnacentral:rRNA from 1 species